rnacentral:rRNA from 1 species
CUGGCGGCGUGCCUAAUACAUGCAAGUCGAACGCAUUGUGGUUGAAAUGAUAUGAAGAACUUGUUCAGAUUUGAUUUUAAACAUUGCAAUGAGUGGCGAACGGGUGAGUAACACGUGGGAAACCUACCUCUUAGCAGGGGAUAACAUUUGGAAACAAAUGCUAAUACCGUAUAAUAAUUAAAACCGCAUGGUUUUAGUUUAAAGGAUGGUCUUGCUAUCACUAAGAGAUGGUCCCGCGGUGUAUUAGUUAGUUGGUGAGGUAAUGGCUCACCAAGACAAUGAUACAUAGCCGAGUUGAGAGACUGACCGGCCACAAUGGGACUGAGACACGGCCCAUACUCCUACGGGAGGCAGCAGUAGGGAAUCUUCCACAAUGGACGAAGGUCUGAUGGAGCAACGCCGCGUGUGUGAUGAAGGGUUUCGGCUCGUAAAACACUGUUGUAAGAGAAGAAUGACAUUGAGAGUAACUGUUCAAUGUGUGACGGUAUCUUACCAGAAAGGAACGGCUAAAUACGUG